rnacentral:rRNA from 1 species
GACGAACGCUGGCGGCGUGCUUAACACAUGCAAGUCGAACGGAAAGGCCCUGCUUUUGUGGGGUGCUCGAGUGGCGAACGGGUGAGUAACACGUGAGUAACCUGCCCUUGACUUUGGGAUAACUUCAGGAAACUGGGGCUAAUACCGGAUAGGAGCUCCUGCUGCAUGGUGGGGGUUGGAAAGUUUCGGCGGGUGGGGAUGGACGCGCGGCUUAUCAGCGUGUUGGUGGGGUAGUGGCUUACCAAGGCUUUGACGGGUAGCCGGCCUGAGAGGGUGACCGGCCACAUUGGGACUGAGAUACGGCCCAGAGUCCUACGGGAGGCAGCAGUGGGGAAUAUUGCACAAUGGGCGGAAGCCUGAUGCAGCAACGCCGCGUGCGGGAUGACGGCCUUCGGGUUGUAAACCGCUUUCGCCUGUGACGAAGCGUGAGUGACGGUAAUGGGUAAAGAAGCACCGGCUAACUACGUG